GUGUUUUAUUUAUCAUCAUCAACAAGACAUUCAAAAAACAUUCAGAUGGUGUGUGUAAAAAAAAAUACGUAGGCCAGACAUUGUCAUGCCAAAGCCUACAAAGGGUGCACAGGUGUGAGGUUGGAAUGUUUGAGGAGUGCACAUUGCCCACUUUGUGAAAAAGAAAGGCCAGCAACAUCCUCAAGCGUUCAGUAAUGAUCCUUCCGCAGGUUCACCUACGGAAA
rnacentral:misc_RNA from 1 species